GUAUCCCACUGUAACUUUACUGUAUAAAGAGCUAACAUCUCCAAAAUGUCAGGAGUAGUUAGUCAUUAAGUGUUUGUGAACUUAAAAUCAAGAAUGAGGGAUACUGUUUGUCCGUGAUUUGGAGAGCCCAGUGCGUGCUCCCGACGAAGGGAAAAGCAAUUAUGCAGGGGAGACCUACCUUGGCACUUGUGCAGGUGAAGCCAAAGGGAGGACAUGCUUCAUCAUAUUUUCUAGUCUUUGGGUUGGAAGGAGGUUGGUUUGGAAAUGCUUAUGCUUCAUUUCCUGCUUUGCGUUUGUGUGGGCGCCCCGUCAAAAACCUGUCUAAAGCAGUGUCCAAGCAUUCAUUCUUUUUUUUUUCUUUUUUUUUUUUUAAAUGUAUUUAUUUAUGCAAGUUUCAAAAUUUUUACACAUUCACAAACAGGGAGACAGAGGAACACAGACAAUAAAGACAAUAACAACAACAAAAAAACAAAAAACAAAACACAGGAACAAACAAACAAACAAACAAACAAAAAACAGAGCAACAAACCCCACAACAGGGUACACAGCCAGCACUUAUUAAAAACAGCAGAGAAGAAAAAAAAAGCAACUGGUAUACAUGUCAAACAACUCACAAUCUAGUGAGUCCAAUCCACAAGAUCAAAUCCAAAGAUCGCUAGGAAGAGCUGAUAACAAUUAUGCAAUAACAGUUAUGGGCAACAGCUCAGAAUGAAAGCAGUUAAAACAACGUGGUCAGGACCCAGGGCGUGGACUGUCCUUCUUAAUGUGGUCUAUAAAGGGCCCCCAUAUCUUCCUGAACUUCUCCAUGGAAUCAGACGUAGAGAACCGAAUUUCUUCCAGGUAUAAACAGGAGACCAUCUCCUCGAGCCACCUCUUGAAGCAGGGAGGGGAGGCAGAUUUCCACUCCCCCAGAAUCAGACGUUUGGCAAUAACCAUACCAAACAUGAAGGCCUGUUGAACAGCAAAGGGACGUGCCAAGGAGUCGCUGGAGCAGCCCAGGAUC
ensembl:lncRNA